AUGCAAGUCGAACGGCAGCACAGGAGAGCUUGCUCUCUGGGUGGCGAGUGGCGGACGGGUGAGGAAUAUAUCGGAAUCUACCCUUUCGUGGGGGAUAACGUAGGGAAACUUACGCUAAUACCGCAUACGAACUGAGGUUGAAAGCGGCGGACCGCAAGGCGUCGCGCGGAUGGAUGAGCCGAUAUCCGAUUAGCUAGUUGGCGGGGUAAAGGCCCACCAAGGCGACGAUCGGUAGCUGGUCUGAGAGGAUGAUCAGCCACACUGGAACUGAGACACGGUCCAGACUCCUACGGGAGGCAGCAGUGGGGAAUAUUGGACAAUGGGCGCAAGCCUGAUCCAGCCAUGCCGCGUGUGUGAAGAAGGCCUUCGGGUUGUAAAGCACUUUUGUUGGGAAAGAAAAGCGGUCGGUUAAUACCCGGUCGUUCUGACGGUACCCAAAGAAUAAGCACCGGCUAACUUCGUGCCAGCAGCCGCGGUAAUACGAAGGGUGCAAGCGUUACUCGGAAUUACUGGGCGUAAAGCGUGCGUAGGUGGUUUGUUAAGUCAGAUGUGAAAGCCCCGGGCUCAACCUGGGAAUUGCAUUUGAUACUGGCAGACUAGAGUGCGGUAGAGGAGAGUGGAAUUCCCGGUGUAGCAGUGAAAUGCGUAGAGAUCGGGAGGAACAUCAGUUGCGAAGGCGGCUCUCUGGACCAGCACUGACACUGAGGCACGAAAGCGUGGGGAGCAA
rnacentral:rRNA from 1 species